GUCUUCGUAGCGCAAUAAACAGCGCGUUGGACUUCUUAUCCAAAGGGCGUGGGUUUGAAUCCCACCUGGGAUG